rnacentral:rRNA from 1 species
UACGGAGGGGGCUAGCGUUGUUCGGAAUUACUGGUCGUAAAGCGCACGUAGGCGGCUUUGUAAGUUAGAGGUGAAAGCCCGGGGCUCAACUCCGGAAUUGCCUUUAAGACUGCAUCGCUAGAAUUGUGGAGAGGUAAGUGGAAUUCCGAGUGUAGAGGUGAAAUUCGUAGAUAUUCGGAAGAACACCAGUGGCGAAGGCGACUUACUGGGCACAUAUUGACGCUGAGGUGCGAAAGCGUGGGGAGCAAACAGG